rnacentral:rRNA from 1 species
GACGUAGGGUGCAAGCGUUGUCCGGAAUCACUGGGCGUAAAGCGCGCGUAGGUGGCUUCGUAAGUCCGUUGUGAAAGUCAAAGGCUCAACCUUUGAAAGCCGAUGGAUACUGCGGAGCUAGAGUACGGAAGAGGCGAGUGGAAUUCCUGGUGUAGCGGUGGAAUGCGCAGAUAUCAGGAGGAACACCAAUAGCGAAGGCAGCUCGCUGGGACGUUACUGACACUAAGGCGCGAAAGCGUGGGGAGCGAACAGG